CACCAAAAAGCCUCAAGGCAACGGUCUCUUAAACCGCAGAAUAGUUUUUACUUUUGGUGA
rnacentral:tRNA from 1 species